rnacentral:rRNA from 1 species
UACGGAGGGUGCAAGCGUUGUUCGGAAUUACUGGGCGUAAAGAGUGCGUAGGCGGCUUGGCAAGUUGGGAGUGAAAUCCCGGGGCUCAACCUCGGAAUUGCUCUCAAAACUGCUGAGCUAGAGUAUGGUAGGGGAUAGUGGAAUUCCUAGUGUAGGGGUGAAAUCCGUAGAUAUUAGGAGGAACACCAGAGGCGAAGGCGACUAUCUGGGCCAUUACUGACGCUAAGGUACGAAAGCGUGGGGAGCAAACAGG